rnacentral:rRNA from 1 species
UCUGAAUGGGGAAACCUACUUGAGAAGACCUCAAGUAUCCACAGCCCAAUCCAUAAGCUGUGGAAGGGAACCCGGUGAACUGAAACAUCUAAGUAGCCGGAGGAAGAGAAAACAACAUGUGAUUCCGUAAGUAGCGGCGAGCGAACGCGGAAGAGCCCAAACCGGAGUGCGUGCACUCCGGGGUUCGGACUGCAGGAUUGACGAGUGAGCCUAGUAGAAUGGUUUUGGGAAAGCCAGCCAGAGAGGGUGAAAGCCCCGUACACGAAAGGCAAGCGAGCAUGGCAGGAUCCAGAGUACCACGAGACACGUGAAACCUUGUGGGAAU